rnacentral:rRNA from 1 species
GUGGGGAAUAUUGGACAAUGGGCGAAAGCCUGAUCCAGCCAUGCCGCGUGAGUGAUGAAGGCCUUAGGGUUGUAAAGCUCUUUCAGUAGGGAAGAUAAUGACGGUACCUACAGAAGAAGCCCCGGCUUACUUCGUGCCAGCAGCCGCCGUAAUACGAAGGGGGCUAGCGUUGUUCGGAUUUACUGGGCGUAAAGCGCACGUAGGCGGAUUUGUCAGUUAGAGGUGAAAUCCUGGCGCUCAACUCCAGAACUGCCUUUAAUACUGCCAGUCUAGAGUCAAGAAGAGGUGAGUGGAACUCCUAGUGUAGGGGUGGAAUUCGUAGAUAGUAGGAAGAACACCAGUGGCGAAGGCGGCUCACUGGUCUGGUACUGACGCUGAGGUGCGAAAGCGUGGGGAGCAAGCAGGAUUAGAUACCCGAGUAGUCC